AAUGUCACAGAAAUGCAGGAGACUCUGGAGCUAGCUUGUUAAAGCAACGCAGCCAGAGACCGACUGAAGGAACUCAGGGAGCUUAAAUAGAGAAGCUCCGCCUAGGGGAGUGGUUUCCUAUGACAACCCUCCUCCUAAACGAUACUGC